UUACUCACACUGACAGUUCCAUCGCCUGCACGGCCAUGGAAGAGAGCUCCCCAUCCUGGAAUGUCGGCUGUUAUGCUUCUGGUCAUCCACAAAGCUAUCAUCAACUGCAUUUUACCUUUAUAUUGUUAAUUUUAAUA